rnacentral:rRNA from 1 species
GACGAACGCUGGCGGCGUGCUUAACACAUGCAAGUCGAGCGGUAAGGCCCUUUCGGGGGGUACACGAGCGGCGAACGGGUGAGUAACACGUGGGUGACCUGCCCUCAGCUCUGGGAUAAGCCUGGGAAACCGGGUCUAAUACCGGAUAUGACUCCAUGACGCAUGUUGUGGGGUGGAAAGCCUUGUGCGGCUGAGGAUGGGCCCGCGGCCUAUCAGCUUGUUGGUGGGGNGAUGGCCUACCAAGGCGACGACGGGUAGCCGGCCUGAGAGGGCGACCGGCCACACUGGGACUGAGACACGGCCCAGACUCCUACGGGAGGCAGCAGUGGGGAAUCUUGCGCAAUGGGCGAAAGCCUGACGCAGCGACGCCGCGUGAGGGAUGACGGCCU